rnacentral:lncRNA from 1 species
UCUUAGCUAUUGUGAGUUGAGCUGUAUUAAGCAUGGGGGUACAGAAAACUCUUUCAUAUGCUGAUUUCAUUUCUUUUGGUAAAUUUCCAGGAGUGAGAAGGCUGGGUCAUAUGGGAGAUUUAUUUUCAGCUUUCUGAAGUGUCUCCAUACUCUCUUCCACAAUGGCUAUGCUAAUUUAUAUUCUAACCAACAGUUGAUUAGAGUAACCCUUCCUCCAUCUUCUCACCGACAUUUAUUGUUUUUUUUUAUGUCUAUGUGAGAGCAAUUCUAAUGAGUAAGGUGAAAUCUCAGUGUCAUUUUUAUUUGCAUUUCCCUGAUUUUUAGUGGUCCUGAGGAUAUUUUCAUGUGUCUGCUGGCCAUUUGAAUUUCCUCUUUUGAAAACUGCCUGUUCAUUUCCUUUGCCCAAUUCUUAACUGAAAUGUUCUUUUGUUGUUGAGUUUCUUGAGAUUUUUAUAUAUUCUGGAUAUUAAUCCUUUCUCAGCUGCAUAGUUUGCAAAUAUUUCCUCCCAUUCUGUCAACUGCCUCGUCACUUUGCUGAAUGCAUCCUUUGCUGUGCAGAAGCUUCUUAGCUUGAUGUAAUCAAAUUUAUCAUUUUUUUUUUUUUCUCUGAUUGCUUGUGCUUAUGGGUUCCUUUCCAAGAAGUCUGUGUAUGCCAAUAUCUUGCAGAGUUUUACCAAUGUUUUUCUCUUGUAAUUUUAUGGUAUCAGGUAGUAGAUUUAGAUCUUUGAUCCAUUGAGUCUAUUUUUGGUAAGGUAUAAGAUAGGGGACUUAUUUCAUACUCACGCACAAAGAGAUGCAAUAUUCCCAGCACCAUGUAUAGAAGAAAGUGUCCUCACUGGAGGGAUUGAUUUUAGCUCCUUUGUCAAAGGUCAGUUGGUUUUAGAUGUGUAGAUCGAUGUCUGAAUUUUCUAUUCUGUUCCGUCGUUCUACAUGCCUAUUUUUGUUCCAGUAGUAGCUGUUUUGAUGAUAAUUGCACUGUAUUAUGUCUUGAAUCUGGUAUUAUGAUGCCUCCUGCCUUGUGUUUGUUGUUUAAAAUUCUUCAGCAAUUUAUAUUCAAGGUUACUAUUGGUCUUGGGUGGAUUCCAGUCCACU